AAUUUAAUUUAUUAUUACACAUUUUCCUUCGUUUAAAACUUAUAUCCAAUUGUUAUUUAACGCUUUUAAUUGAAUAAAGCCAAUAAUAAUAACGGGCUAUUUUAAUUAUUUAGAUACAAGAAGCUGCAAAGCUCAAACCGAUGGAAGUGGAACUAAAACGAUUGGAAGACUUAUCAGACUCAAUUGUCAGAGAUUUUGCGUUAAUGAGAAAACGGGAGGAAGAAAUGAGGGAUACAAAUGAGAAAACCAAUAGUCGUGUACUAUUUUUUAGCAUAUUUAGCAUGUGUUGCUUACUUGGUCUAGCUACAUGGCAAGUUUUAUAUUUACGCAGAUAUUUUAAAGCCAAAAAGCUUAUUGAGUAAUGAAACUGAGUAUUUUUUAAGUUCCAGUGUAUUAAGUUGAAAUUUACUCAAAAAUAAAAUACUACCUUCGUAAUAAUAUCAUA